rnacentral:rRNA from 1 species
GGUUAAGCGACUAAGCGUACACGGUGGAUGCCCUGGCAGUCAGAGGCGAUGAAGGACGUGCUAAUCUGCGAAAAGCGCCGGCGAGGUGAUAUGAACCUUUGACCCGGCGAUGUCCGAAUGGGGAAACCCAGUGCAAUUCGUUGCACUAUCGUUAACUGAAUACAUAGGUUAACGAGGCGAACCGGGGGAACUGAAACAUCUAAGUACCCCGAGGAAAAGAAAUCAACCGAGAUUCCCCCAGUAGCGGCGAGCGAACGGGGAGCAGCCCAGAGUCUGAAUCAGCUUGUGUGUUAGUGGAACGGUCUGGAAAGUCCGGCGAUACAGGGUGACAGCCCCGUACACGAAAGCACACAGGCUGUGAACUCGAAGAGUAGGGCGGGACACGUGGUAUCCUGUCUGAAUAUGGGGGGACCAUCCUCCAAGGCUAAAUACUCCUGACUGACCGAUAGUGAACCAGUACCGUGAGGGAAAGGCGAAAAGAACCCCGGCGAGGGGAGUGAAAAAGAACCUGAAACCGUGUACGUACAAGCAGUGGGAGCACCUUCGUGGUGUGACUGCGUACCUUUUGUAUAAUGGGUCAGCGACUUAUAUUCUGUAGCAAGGUUAACCGUAUAGGGGAGCCGAAGGGAAACCGAGUCUUAACUGGGCGUUAAGUUGCAGGGUAUAGACCCGAAACCCGGUGAUCUAGCCAUGGGCAGGUUGAAGGUUGGGUAACACUAACUGGAGGACCGAACCGACUAAUGUUGAAAAAUUAGCGGAUGACUUGUGGCUGGGGGUGAAAGGCCAAUCAAACCGGGAGAUAGCUGGUUCUCCCCGAAAGCUAUUUAGGUAGCGCCUCGUGAACUCAUCUUCGGGGGUAGAGCACUGUUUCGGCUAGGGGGCCAUCCCGGCUUACCAACCCGAUGCAAACUACGAAUACCGAAGAAUGUUAUCACGGGAGACACACGGCGGGUGCUAACGUCCGUCGUGAAGAGGGAAACAACCCAGACCGCCAGCUAAGGUCCCAAAGUCAUGGUUAAGUGGGAAACGAUGUGGGAAGGCACAGACAGCCAGGAUGUUGGCUUAGAAGCAGCCAUCAUUUAAAGAAAGCGUAAUAGCUCACUGGUCGAGUCGGCCUGCGCGGAAGAUGUAACGGGGCUAAACCAUGCACCGAAGCUGCGGCAGCGACGCUUAUGCGUUGUUGGGUAGGGGAGCGUUCUGUAAGCCGUUGAAGGUGUGCUGUGAGGCAUGCUGGAGGUAUCAGAAGUGCGAAUGCUGACAUAAGUAACGAUAAAGCGGGUGAAAAGCCCGCUCGCCGGAAGACCAAGGGUUCCUGUCCAACGUUAAUCGGGGCAGGGUGAGUCGACCCCUAAGGCGAGGCCGAAAGGCGUAGUCGAUGGGAAACAGGUUAAUAUUCCUGUACUUGGUGUUACUGCGAAGGGGGGACGGAGAAGGCUAUGUUAGCCGGGCGACGGUUGUCCCGGUUUAAGCAUGUAGGCGGAGGUUCCAGGUAAAUCCGGUACCUUAUUAACGCUGAGGUGUGAUGACGAGGCACUACGGUGCUGAAGUAACAAAUGCCCUGCUUCCAGGAAAAGCCUCUAAGCAUCAGGUAACACGAAAUCGUACCCCAAACCGACACAGGUGGUCAGGUAGAGAAUACCAAGGCGCUUGAGAGAACUCGGGUGAAGGAACUAGGCAAAAUGGUGCCGUAACUUCGGGAGAAGGCACGCUGAUAUGUAGGUGAAGCCCCUGCGGGUGGAGCUGAAAUCAGUCGAAGAUACCAGCUGGCUGCAACUGUUUAUUAAAAACACAGCACUGUGCAAACACGAAAGUGGACGUAUACGGUGUGACGCCUGCCCGGUGCCGGAAGGUUAAUUGAUGGGGUUAGCGGCAACGCGAAGCUCUUGAUCGAAGCCCCGGUAAACGGCGGCCGUAACUAUAACGGUCCUAAGGUAGCGAAAUUCCUUGUCGGGUAAGUUCCGACCUGCACGAAUGGCGUAAUGAUGGCCAGGCUGUCUCCACCCGAGACUCAGUGAAAUUGAACUCGCUGUGAAGAUGCAGUGUACCCGCGGCAAGACGGAAAGACCCCGUGAACCUUUACUAUAGCUUGACACUGAACACUGGUCCUUGAUGUGUAGGAUAGGUGGGAGGCUUUGAAGCGUGGACGCCAGUCUGCGUGGAGCCAACCUUGAAAUACCACCCUUUAAUGGCUGGUGUUCUAACGUAGACCCGUAAUCCGGGUUGCGGACAGUGUCUGGUGGGUAGUUUGACUGGGGCGGUCUCCUCCCAAAGAGUAACGGAGGAGCACGAAGGUUAGCUAAUCCUGGUCGGACAUCAGGAGGUUAGUGCAAUGGCAUAAGCUAGCUUGACUGCGAGAGUGACGGCUCGAGCAGGUGCGAAAGCAGGUCAUAGUGAUCCGGUGGUUCUGAAUGGAAGGGCCAUCGCUCAACGGAUAAAAGGUACUCCGGGGAUAACAGGCUGAUACCGCCCAAGAGUUCAUAUCGACGGCGGUGUUUGGCACCUCGAUGUCGGCUCAUCACAUCCUGGGGCUGAAGUAGGUCCCAAGGGUAUGGCUGUUCGCCAUUUAAAGUGGUACGCGAGCUGGGUUUAGAACGUCGUGAGACAGUUCGGUCCCUAUCUGCCGUGGGCGCUGGAGAAUUGAGGGGGGCUGCUCCUAGUACGAGAGGACCGGAGUGGACGCAUCACUGGUGUUCGGGUUGUCAUGCCAAUGGCACUGCCCGGUAGCUAAAUGCGGAAAAGAUAAGUGCUGAAAGCAUCUAAGCACGAAACUUGCCCCGAGAUGAGUUCUCCCUGACCCUUUAAGGGUCCUGAAGGAACGUUGAAGACUACGACGUUGAUAGGUCGGGUGUGUAAGCGCAGCGAUGCGUUGAGCUAACCGAUACUAAUGAACCGUGAGGCUUAACCUU